GGUGGAGCGAUUUGUCUGGUUAAUUCCGAUAACGAACGAGACUCUAGCCUGCUAAAUAGUUCGUCGAUGGCACUCUGUCGGCGCUAACUUCUUAGAGGGACAAGUGGCGUUCAGUCACACGAGAUUGAGCAAUAACAGGUCUGUGAUGCCCUUAGAUGUCCGGGGCUGCACGCGCGCUACAAUGAUAAUAGCAAAGUGCAUUAAAACCUUUUCUGGUAAGAAUUGGUAAACACGAAACAUUGUCGUGCUUGGAAUCGGGGAUUGAAAUUAUUGCCCUUAAACGAGGAAUUCCUAGUAAGUGCAGGUCAUCAGCUUGUGCUGAUUACGUCCCUGCCCUUUGUAC
rnacentral:rRNA from 1 species